AAAAAAUUAUUAUAUCACUACAAGUAGUUUCAAAAUUUAUUUAAAAGUUUACAAAUUCACUUUUCAAUUUCAUUUUUCAAUAAUGUCAGUUUUACCGACAAGACAACCAACAUUUUGAAAUAGAAUGAUAAUAAUCAUUUAAGAUACAGGACUAGAAGAGGGGCAGUCUAUCCUAUUAAUAGAGAUAGAUGAGUAUGGUUCAGAGCAGAGAUGAUUUUAAUGCUUCUGACAUUAAUUUCACCGAGUUUGUAAUGGAAAAAUAGGAACUGGAAAAGAAAGAAUAAUCAACGUAUGAAGGGAAAAUCAAAGAUUCCAGAGGUUGGGAGAAAUAAUAACGACAAAAACGUUCACUUCUUCGAGAUUUUUAAGUUGAUUGACUGAUAUUCAAACAUAUAAGUACAAUAUUUUAAACCAAGAAAAUUGGAUUAUUCGCGAUCAUGAUCCCAUUUUUCCUCUUUUUGAUGGACAUUGUAGUUAAUGAUGUUGAACUAGUGAUCAUACAAAUGAUUAUGGUCAUGAACAUGAUAUAGAGAGGUAAAACAAACGAUUGAGAUAGAAAAUCUGAUUUCGAGCCCAGUCAGAAGAAUUCUCAAGUACAAUCAUUUAUAGAAAAUAUCAAUGUUGAAUAACAAUCCAAAAUGCAAACCACUGAAAGAUUAGUCAAAGUACUGUCUUCUCGAAUAUAAAAGCGUGACAUUGUGAACUGAUGGAGAACUAUACCUUUUAAUAAAUAUAACAUUCAUGAUCACUCUAACAAAUAAAAUUGGUAUUGUUAAUCAUAUUGGUUUCCGAAAAUGAACUUUGAUUGUUUUCUGAUUAUCUAUCAGAGGAAAAGAAAUUUAUAAGGAAAAAACUGGUAAAAUAUCAGCAGAAUAAUUCACAUGAUUUUUUUUAAAGAAAUCAUUAUUAUUCCUCAAGAAUCAUUUUUCUUUAUCAGAAGUUUCUGACUUAAUUUAAAUAUAUUUGAAGAAUCCAAUUAUAUACUUUACCAAGCCUUACAAGAAUUUACAAAUUUAAUCAUCUUUAUAUUCUAUCUAUAUUUUAAUUAUAUGA